AAAAAGCUCAUGAAGAAUCAUCGAAUCUCAUCAUCACCAUUUUCAACUCAUCAUCUUCACCAUAUCCAUGUGUUUGAGGUGAGUUAUAGUUAGAACUUGCAUGGAAUAUAAACUAGGAUUUAUGAUGAAAGCAAAUGAUAGUUGGUAAUGAUCCAUGAUAUGUGUUCUAUCUUAGUCAUGAAAGCUUAAUGAAUGAAUGAUCCACCCAUGUUUUCUAUGAUUGUGGUGUUCUACCUAUGGUUGAAUGUUGUUGUUGUUAUCAUGGUUAUAUGUCUC
rnacentral:lncRNA from 1 species